UAAAGUUACCAAACGAUGAAACUCUAGUGAGAGCUCACUGGAGAAGACAACAAGAGUAUCUCUCAGGUGGUCUGAGUUUGGACCAGACACGUUGGCAUUUUGAAAUGUUUUGAUUGGUCAAAUUCAAACUGAAUCUUGUAUUAUGAUUGCAGCGUGUUUCAUCGUGUUUCUCAUCAUUUGGAGUGUUGGAUUGCCACAUCAAUUAAUGAGGCGUGACCAACGCUUCUGGUUUUUUCUGAUUUUAAAUCUUUUUCUUUUAUUAUUUUAAAU
rnacentral:lncRNA from 1 species